AACGAACGCUGGCGGCAUGCCUAACACAUGCAAGUCGAACGAUGCCUCCGGGCAUAGUGGCGCACGGGUGCGUAACGCGUGGGAAUCUGCCCUUGGGUUCGGAAUAACUCGCCGAAAGGCGAGCUAAUACCGGAUGAUGACGUAAGUCCAAAGAUUUAUCGCCCAAGGAUGAGCCCGCGUAGGAUUAGCUAGUUGGUGGGGUAAAGGCCCGCCAAGGCGACGAUCCUUAGCUGGUCUGAGAGGAUGAUCAGCCACACUGGGACUGAGACACGGCCCAGACUCCUACGGGAGGCAGCAGUGGGGAAUAUUGGACAAGGGGCGAAAGCCUGAUCCAGCAAUGCCGCGUGAGUGAUGAAGGCCUUAGGGUUGUAAAGCUCUUUUACCCGGGAUGAUAAUGACAGUACCGGGAGAAUAAGCACCGGCUAACUCCGUG
rnacentral:rRNA from 1 species